rnacentral:lncRNA from 1 species
AGGCCUGUGCAGAUUUCGGUUUAAACCGAAAAACCGAACCGAACCGAUUAAUUUCGGUUUUUCGGUUCGGUUAAUCGGUAUGAUCGGUUUGGUUCGGUUUAUAAAUUUAAAAUUAUUCGGUUUUCGGUUCGGUUCGAUUUAAACAUGUUAAAUAACCGAUCAAACCGAAAAACCGAAAAACCGGUUUAAACAUGUUAACCCAACCCAGCAGGCAGCAGCCCAACCCCAUCAAUCGAUUUCGCUGAACCCCUUCGUUCAUCCCGUUCUCCACAUUCUGCAAUCUCCUCUCCCGAACCCGAUUCCCCCCGAACCCCUAUUCUCUCUCUCGAAUCCCGAUUCCUUCCCCUGGCCUCUCUUUCUCUUUCACGUCGAUCGUCAAUCUUUUUCUCGUCGACCUCCGACCGCCGACCGUCGACCAUCAACCUCUUUCCCGUCGAUUUGGUGAGUUUCACCGCCGACCGUGAACUGAUCUCUUGAGAGCAAAGGUACUACCGCUUUUGGCAAUUUGUGUUUUCUCUCUUUUGUACUUGACCAUCAACCUCUUUUUUGUACUGUGGCUCAGUCAGAUGCUUGUGUUUUCUCUCUUUUUUUCCCCUCAAUUUGUUUGUCUUGGGUUGGGUAUGGGUUUACUGGGUUUACUUUUAAUCUUUGCCAUUACCAAUUUGAUUUGUUUGUAUGGGAUAAUACUGAUUUUUUCACAAAAAAAAUCAAGCGGGUUGGUACUUUGCAGGAAACAGUGAUUACAUGAUUUAGGGAUUUCUUGUCUGCGAGAGGGAAAAACAGCAAGGAAGAGGAAGAAGAGGAAACAGUGAUUACAUGAUUUAGGGUUUCAUCUAAUCUCUGUUCUUUCCAUUUCUCAAUUAAUUUGUGAAAUUAUACAUUGAGUUGUUAGGGAAAUAAUAGAACAGCUUAUUUUCUUAAUGCAUAUAUUGAUAUGGAUAUAAGAUAAGCUUAUCUUUGGCUUUUAGAUCCCUCGGAUGGAUGGUGCUUGUUGGUUUUGUGGCAUUAGUUGUUUUUUUAUGAUAAAAAUCAAUACUUGAAGUCUUUUCAUUUUAGAAUGAACUGACCCUGAGUUUUCUUUUUAUCCAGUUUUUUCUUUCCCAUUAUAUGUUGAGCUUUCUGUGUGAUUUGCCUUUUUUUGGUGUCUACAGAGACAAAGACCCUGUCUGGAUUUUGAUGUUUGAGGUUACUUGUUUUGAUGUACAAUGUAAAGUUUUCUUGUUUCUGAAGUUUGUAUUGUAGAGUUGCCCGUUUAUUCUUGUAGUUCUUUUCUCUUUUUGGAAAAUUACGAGGGCAGUUUAUUUUCUUGUCUGAUCUUUAUGUAUCCUAACCAUGACUAAUUUAGCAACUAGGAAAACGUUUAUUAUAUUCCUGGUGUUGUUGCAAGAUGAUAGGAGACAAAUCGAAUCAGUUUUUUUGGUUUUAAAAAUUUCAGCAAAUCGGUUUUCGGUUUUAUCGGUUCGGUUCGGUUCGGUUCGGUUCGGUUCGGUUCGGAACCGAACCGACCGAUUGCACAGGUUCCAAAUUAAAAAUAAAAAAUUAAAAAAAAACAGAUUUCGGUUUUAACCGAACCGAACCGAUUUUUAUCGGUUCGAUUCGGUUCGGUUAUACCUCCAGAAUCGGUUUUUUCGGUUUUUAAAAUUUCAGCAAAUCG